UACGUAGGGAGCAAGCGUUGUCCGGAAUCAUUGGGCGUAAAGCGCGCGUAGGUGGCUUCGUAAGUCCGUUGUGAAAGUCAAAGGCUCAACCUUUGAAAGCCGAUGGAUACUGCGGAGCUAGAGUACGGAAGAGGCGAGUGGAAUUCCUGGUGUAAGCGGUGGAAUGCGCAGAUAUCAGGAGGAACACCAAUAGCGAAGGCAGCUCGCUGGGACGUUACUGACACUGAGGCGCGAAAGCGUGGGGAGCGAACAGG
rnacentral:rRNA from 1 species